rnacentral:lncRNA from 1 species
CCCUUUUCGAAGAACCGACUCUGUUACCAACAAUGGCGGUUUUGAAAAGAAGUGUGACUCGACGCUUUGUUAGUAAUCUUCGCUUGGAGUAUGUUCAUGUCGUUUCAGUCUCGAUCCUUCACCUCUGAAACUGUUACAAAUCACAUUGAUUCAACUUCGUUGACCAAUUAACUCUUCCUGCCCACUCCGACCAAAAUCUCGCAUUCAAUGAA